rnacentral:rRNA from 2 species
AUGGGCGCAAGCCUGAUGGAGCAACACCGCGUGAGUGAAGAAGGGUUUCGGCUCGUAAAGCUCUGUUGUUGGAGAAGAACGUGCGUGAGAGUAACUGUUCACGCAGUGACGGUAUCCAACCAGAAAGUCACGGCUAACUACGUGCCAGCAGCCGCGGUAAUACGUAGGUGGCAAGCGUUAUUCGGAUUUAUUGGGCGUAAAGCGAGCGCAGGCGGUUGCUUAGGUCUGAUGUGAAAGCCUUCGGCUUAACCGAAGAAGGGCAUCGGAAACCGGGCGACUUGAGUGCAGAAGAGGACAGUGGAACUCCAUGUGUAGCGGUGGAAUGCGUAGAUAUAUGGAAGAACACCGGUGGCGAAGGCGGCUGUCUGGUCUGCAACUGACGCUGAGGCUCGAAAGCAUGGGUAGCGAACAGGAUUAGAUACCCUGGUAGUCCAUGCCGUAAACGAUGAGUGCUAGGUGUUGGAGGGUUUCCGCCCUUCAGUGCCGGAGCUAACGCAUUAAGCACUCCGCCUGGGGAGUACGACCGCAAGGUUGAAACUCAAAGGAAUUGACGGGGGCCCGCACAAGCGGUGGAGCAUGUGGUUUAAUUCGAAGCUACGCGAAGAACCUUACCAGGUCUUGACAUCUUGCGCUAACCUAAGAGAUUAGGCGUUCCCUUCGGGGACGCCAUGACAGGUGGUGCAUGGUCGUCGUCAGCUCGUGUCGUGAGAUGU